rnacentral:snRNA from 1 species
GCAUUAUGGUGCAUUGUAAUGCAGGGGCCAUGCUAAUCAGAGAAGAUUAGCAUGGCCCCUGCGCAAGGAUGACACGCAAAAUCGAGAAGCGGUAAUGCUCUAC